GUAAAUAAUUUUUGUAGCGUAAAAGCAAAAUAAAUUCAUACAUAUUGUAAUACAGUAAGCUAGAGUAUUUAAUUUAAUUUACAAUAACCAGUGGGCCCCCGAAUAACCAAAAGGAAGACUGUGAACCUACAGUUUGGAGGAUGCAAAUCCAACGGUAGCCUCAAUGAAAUCAGCUAUCUACAUCCUAUUCUGAGCUUGAAAUGGGUGGAAAAGAGGGUGGUGAGAUUAUAUAAUCCCAGUGAGUAAACAAAUACCAUCUAAAAUAUGUAAAGCUGAGUAAAUGGAGAUAGAUAAAAUAGUUUAACAUACUAUAAUUCAUCACCUUUCAACUCAUUUCAACCAAAUAAAAUCAAUUCAUAUAAAUCGAGUAAUCAACAUGGCUUAUGAAUUUCUUAAAACUUUGGCUCGUGCCAAAAUCAUUCUUAUACUCAGUUAUCAGGGAUACCUUGGUCGAGGGCUAUCCCAACCGAGACCGCUAAGGCUGUUAAGAAGUUAUGUACGCAUAAAUCAUGUUUUUAUUUUGAAAACAUAGCCGUUCCUUGGCGUUUGCUGAGUUCACCCUCACGUGGUGGUUUGGCGUGAAGUGAACUCUAAAGUUUUAACCUCAGGAGUUAUCCAACCGUGCCUCUCAUACUGAGGUAUGAAUAUAAUAGGGUUACCGUGCCCCUCUAAUAGGCUGAUCCACGGAACCCGUCUAUUGCAGCAACUAAUUUAUAACCCACCAUACAAUAAAAUUUGCAAUAGCAUGACAUGGCAAUUAUUUUAUUUUACAGCCUUUUAAGGCAAAUUAACAGUUCAUACAUUUUCAACACAAAUACCAAUUCAGCCAUUCAUGCAAAUAUUAUCAUAAGCCAUUCAAUUCAAACCAUGAUUUAUAACACAAUAAUUAGUCUCCAAUUAUUCCAUUUUCAAAACCAUCUUUCAAUUUCAAGACAAUUUAUAAAAUCAUCUCAUUUAAACACAUUUUGUUUAUAAAACCUAAAAAUUGACCAUUUAAACUCAUUUUUCAUAAAAUCACAAAAUCGGAUAAAAACCACUUUAGAUAAUUAAGACGACAGUAAGGUUACUCACUAUUUCAGGAGUCAAAUUUCGAGUUCUCCGAUUCUUGAUCCUCUGGUACUAUCUCUUUACUUUUGCCAGAAUACUCACCACCUAAACAUAAUACACAAUAAGCCAUUUACUACAUUUGUGCUAAAUUGUUAUAAACCAAUUCAGGCUUUAUACUAAUGUAUGAAAUGGGAUGCAAAUUGUUCGGAUUAUUGUCUAAACAAGGUGUUCUACACAAAUUCAAUUGUGUACCUAAAUAAAACGGUAUUGGCCUAAUUCGAUCUAUCACUCGAUUAAUUGGCCAAUAUGUCCCAUUUAACUCCAAUUAAUUCUAUUUUUCUCCCAAUACUCCAAAUCAUCAAACACAAAUUAAAUAACUUGAAAUAUGGCAAAAUCAUCCUCACAUUUUCUCUUGGAAAAUUCGGCCAUGGUGGGUGCAUCAACAUUAUAAUUUUUCAAGCUUGAUUCUCACACCAUAAAUCACUAAUUCCUAACCAAAUCAUUUGAAAUAAAAUCAAAAUCAUCAUCAAUAUUCUACAUGGAGAAUUCGGCCAAUGAUGGGUUAUGGGAGAAAAUGAAUUUUUCUUGUUGGCUUUUCAUGCUACACAUCACUAACUAACUAAAAACACUAAAAUACAUUGAAAUCUAACCAAAUCAAGCAUCAAAACCUCCCUCUAAGUGUUCGGCCAGCAUGGGAUUCAUCAUGAAAUCAUGUGAUUCAACCAUGGAAAAUGCAAAAGAAUGUAUGGGAAAGGUAGAUCACAAGUCAAAAUCAAGAAAUUUUACCUUUGAUUGCUUGAUUACUUGAAAUCCACCAAUUUUCUCUUGAAUUUUCACACUAGGGUUUUUGUUCUUUCUUUUCUUCCUUUGUUCUUGCUUUGGCCGGCCAUAUGAAGAGAAAUGGGCUGAUUUUGUGCUGAUUUUUAAGCCAAAUAAUAAAUGGAUGAAAAUUUGACACAUGUCACCAUUCCAUUGGUCCAUGUGUCAUACUUACCCAUUAAGCAAUCUCUCUCCACCACUUAAAUUUCCUCAAUUAUCCAUGAUAAUAUUGGGUAAAAUCCAUGUGCUGGACAAGUGUUGGGUGGUGUAAAAUUACAAUUUUGCCCUUGGGGUGGCAAAAUGACUAUUUUACCCUUAUGCUCGAAAAAUGGCCAAAAUUAAAAUUCUUCACUUCUCAAACUCAAAUUAUGCUCCAAAUGAUCAAUCUUAGUCAAAAAUUUCAUCCAACACUCACAUCUUAACCUCGGGUGGCAAAAUGACCAUUUUACCCCUAGUUCAUGAAAAUUCCAAUUUGACUCCAAAUCGGUCCUCGAACUCCGAAUCACCAUUUUAAGUCAUUUUGGGGUUUUAAAAUUCUCAAUUUCAUCUUAAAAUCUCUAUUUGGACUAGUUCGAGGCUUAAUUCAACUUAAUUGUACCAUUUGGUACAAUACCGUCCUUUAACGAUUUUCGAGGUACCCAAGUAAGCAAACAUGCAUUCUUAUGUAAGAAUGGCAUAAUAAACAUAUUGUAGAGCUGGGCUUGACAACACUACCCCCCUUAAAAUAAAAUUUUGACCUCAAAAUUUCAUUUACUGAACUCAGAGAAAAGGUGAGGGUAUUGUUUUCUCAUCUAAUGCUCGACUUCUUAUGUCCUCCCCUUUAUAGGGAAUUUCGAUUUGUUCACCUCAUUUACCUCCAAUUCAACUCGAGUACUUCACUUAUGUCUAUUAUUAUCCUUUAAAAUCAGAUCAACAGUAACCUUCACAAUUAUGAUCUCUUAUAUCGAGACACCAAGCAUGCUUCUAUUACUAUCAUUAAACUUGAACCAUAACUCCAUCUCAAUCAUACCAAUUUCGAUCGCAUUUUAUACUUAUUUAGGUAUACCAAUCACUAUCUUAUUACUUCAUUCCAUAUCAAAUUUCUCGACUUUCAUUCAUUCAUCCUAUCCUCAUACACUAUUGUGUAGUUUACGACAUCAUUAACAUGCCAUACUCAUUCCUGUACAUAUCCUCAGCGUUAGGGAAGAUUAAUGGCUUCAAUUAUUUCCACAUACUUCAUGUUUACCUUGCAUUUAGGAAAUUUCAAUCUUCUUAAUCCUAUUAAUCCAUCUCAUAUGGCUUAAUCGCACUAUAGGUUACAUUCCCUUAACUAUUUCCCCAAAAUUCCUUAGGUCGUCAUAAAUCGACUUUUGAUAAGAUUCUUGAUCGUUACAUUAUCUAUACAACUCAUCAAAUAUAUUGAGUUCAAAUCUUGAACCACUAAAACCAUUCUUCAUUUUAGUUGGGUACAUCACUAACUCCACACAUACGUAUACACGCACAUUCAAAUGUCCAUAUUCCUCAUUAUGUAUACGGGUCUCUGUUUUCAAAUGCCUUCAGACUAAUUUCUCUUUGUUCAUUCCCAUCCAUAACCAAGAUUCAAUAGAAUAAUCUUCAUAAUUCAUACAAAUUCUCAUCAUGCCUGUGCAUAGUUCCACAUCAUUUACAUACUUAUACUCUCUUCUUAUCAUUUCCAAUUAUAUGCUUAAGUUUCCUUAUACUAUAUAUCAUUGCAUCACAAUGUCAUCUCCAUUGAAUUAUAAUCUAUUAUGCGUGUAUGCUUUAUAACCCCAUUGAUGCCUCAAAGAUUUAUCUUAACUUGAUCAUUGCAUCUUAUGCAAUACCACAAUUCCUAAGAGUCAUCCUUUUUCCUCGAUUAUCCUUUAUGCCUCUACAUUACCUUGUAUCCUUCUUGCAUUCCGAUAUUGAUUUGUCACUUAAGACUCAAACUCAUUUGAAUCAUGUAUGCCUCAAGCAUUUUCGAAUUCCAAUUUCCAUAAUAUAUUAGGAAAGUUUCAUUAUCUGACUUCAUUAUCAAGGUCAACUUCUAUCAUCUUUUGUUCCACUCUUUCAUACGAAUAUAACAUCAAUCUUCCUUAACCAAUUUACAAAUUGUGCUUGAAAUUACAAGACUUGAAACUAUGUUCUCCUCAAGUACUUUUCAAUGUUAAUACGAGUAUCACUCUCAGCUUAUGGCUUCCUUUUUAUAACCACAUAACUUAGUGCAUGCUUUCACAAGAUCUAGGGUAGAACUUCUCUUGAGUAUUUCCUUCGGGAUAUCUAUCUUAAACUUAUGUCUCACAGCAUGUGUUCACUUAACCCAAGACUUAGCCGUUUGGCUCCUUAGCAAGUUUUAAAGUCACGCAUCUUAUGCUCAUCACAUAUAACUUAUAAUUCUUUCUCAAAGGCGUUUAAAUAUUCUUGAAACACUUAAUCACUUAUUUGCUCUUUCAUACUCCAAGUAUAUCAUUUCCAUAAAGGCAUGCCCAACUACUCAUGCUUCAAUUUAUCUCCAAGAGUUUCUAGCAUGUCACCUAGUCUACUUGUGUUGUUACUAAUCCUUUCCUUUCAACAAAGUCAAGACAAGAUUAGUAUAUCCUUAUAACAAUAUUCUAUAUAACUCAUUUGCUAUAUCAUUAUUGAAAUCUUUAUUCACAUUUUCAUCACUUGGUAUUGACGUCUCUUAUCAAUAUCUCAUACAUUCAUCUAACCUUUCCCUCAUUUCCUCUUUAACCUUUUACAAGGUUCAUUUUAUUUCUUAAGAUUUGACUUUAGUCAACAUAUUAUUCAUCUUAACACUCCACAUGUUAAUUUAUUUUUAUGUAGCCAUCUCAAAAACUCUGUAACUUUUCUUUCUCUUACAUGCCAAUAUAUAAGGCGAUAAAGAAACUCUGUAAUUUCACUCAUCAUCUUUAUCUUAAUACCUCCCCAAUGCACUUCAGACUCCAAACAACAAAGCUUAGCAUCAAAACCAAUAACCAUAUUUCAACUCGCGAGUCUGAUCUUUAUGCCGCUCAUAGUCUGCUUAUGCUUUCUAACCAUAAGGGUUUCUUAACACGAUAGCAUUUGAUAGUCAGUACUAUAGCGUUGCAAUUGUUUGAAUUCACUUUAUCCCAACAACUCUUCUACCUUUAAAGCUACUACCUCAAUUAUUCACAAUCGUGGGGCUUCCCUCUGAGUCUAUACCACAAUUAGCAAGACUAACUUUCUAUCACAAGUGCGCGAUCAGAACAUUGACUUAAUGUAUUUAUUUUGUCACUAAAAUACAUAUAUCUUUACCAUAACAUUUAGUACGAGUUUGCUUAAGCAAAAAUCUCCAAAUUUAUUCAUAGCUACAUGUAUCUCAGAUUGCACGUCACUUAUCAUCAGUCAAUAAAUCCCACUUGAGAAUACUCUUUCCAUAUUGUAUAGUGACUUCACCAUAUACGUAUGAUACCACACACAUAAUUAUUCGUUGUUUUCUAGUGUUCCACAAUUCCUUAGUAUUCACAAUUACUGGUCUUCUUUGUCUUACAACUCAUAUAGUCCAAUCACUUCAACUUAAAUUUCGGCCCGACAUGAUAUCUCCCACAAUUUCUGCAUCUAUCAAAACCUUCAGAACUCUUCCCAGAAAUAAUCAUCGUAGAUCUGUUAUGUCACGACCCAAAUUUCGGGCCAUGACCGGCCCAUGGGCCCAAUGGACAUAGUCCAUUAAGCCCAAGCAAGCCUAAUAGUCCGACGUGUUCAUCAUUCCAUCAUAAACUGUUAAGUCAUUUUUCAAAACUUAAAAAUCAAAAUAGUAAUUGGCAUUGCCAACUCGUAUUGGCAUUUCUCAUUUAUUAUAUACAUACAUUGUCUACAACAUGUGUUCUAAUAAUGUACAUUAGGUUCGCCUAUACAUCUCAAAAAGAAGACUUGACUUCCAGCGGAGGGACUCGGACGAAUGUACAGCUACUGAAUGCCGAGACACCUACCCAAAAAAUGGACACAAGUCUACAAGGAUACCUCGCCCUAGUUACUGGCUGGCUCGUGAUCUGAAAAUAUGAAUUUGAAAAUGGUGAGUAUAAACCUAGUGAGUGAACAAGGAAGAGAACAAACAUACCAUAAGGAAUCUUUAAUGAAAUCAUGAUGCAUUCUUUUUCAAAACAAUGCAAUUUAUUUCUAUUUUUAUUGAAAACCCCUCAUCAAGCCCUUAAAUGAUUAAUCAUUUGAAAAUCAAGGACCCAUACAUAACAAACCAUUUGAAGAAUGAAAACUUUAAUAUUACACAAGCAAGUUAAAUACGACAACGAAUCUUCGCUACAGCGAAAAUGCAAUUUUCGUUGCAACAACGUUGGAAUUUAGUUAUUAACCAAACGAGGGUUUCUCAACUGGCCGAGGGUUUCUCACUAAACCUCCUCAUUUUAAACUUAACACUUUUAAUCCUUAAUGUUGGAAGUCCAUGCUCUCAUAUGGUAGUAAAGAAGUGAAAGAUAGGGCAGCAAUUGGACAAGAUAAGAGACCAAAACAGAAAGUUUUUCGCUACAGCGAGACUCAAUCUCGCUGCAGCGAAAUUUCUACCCAGAAACAGAAUGUUUCUCGCUGCAGCGAAAUUGCAACCCAGAAAACAGAAAGUUUCUCACUGCAGCGAGAAGCUACAGUGUCAUUCUCGCUGCAGCGAAAAUGCAUCCUCGUUGCAGCAAGUUUUCGGCCAGUGUACCCCUCCAAAUUCAAGAGUUUUUUGCUGCAACGAGAAUCAUUCUCGCUGCAGCGAAAUACAGGGCAUCAAUGCAAAAUUUACCUUUCUCCCAAAGGAAAAACCACAUUGCCAAAAGGUCCAAACCAACAUGAAAACACAUAACAGUUUCUCAAGGUUUAACAUGUCAAGUUUCACAUGCAUUACAACCAUAACCCAUUAUCCAUCAAUUUCCUAUAACACACAUAUUUAAUUAUAUAUANNNNNNNNNNNNNNNNNNNNNNNNNNNNNNNNNNNNNNNNNNNNNNNNNNNNNNNNNNNNNNNNNNNNNNNNNNNNNNNNNNNNNNNNNNNNNNNNNNNNNNNNNNNNNNNNNNNNNNNNNNNNNNNNNNNNNNNNNNNNNNNNNNNNNNNNNNNNNNNNNNNNNNNNNNNNNNNNNNNNNNNNNNNNNNNNNNNNNNNNNNNNNNNNNNNNNNNNNNNNNNNNNNNNNNNNNNNNNNNNNNNNNNNNNNNNNNNNNNNNNNNNNNNNNNNNNNNNNNNNNNNNNNNNNNNNNNNNNNNNNNNNNNNNNNNNNNNNNNNNNNNNNNNNNNNNNNNNNNNNNNNNNNNNNNNNNNNNNNNNNNNNNNNNNNNNNNNNNNNNNNNNNNNNNNNNNNNNNNNNNNNNNNNNNNNNNNNNNNNNNNNNNNNNNNNNNNNNNNNNNNNNNNNNNNNNNNNNNNNNNNNNNNNNNNNNNNNNNNNNNNNNNNNNNNNNNNNNNNNNNNNNNNNNNNNNNNNNNNNNNNNNNNNNNNNNAUCCAAUUGGAAUGAUGGUGCUUCCUUAAAAACCUAGGAUCACAUUAACAUAAACAAUAGAUUAAUUUACACACUAUGAACUCUAAAAGCUAUCUCUUAGCUAGUUUUCAAUUGCCACUUUAAAUGGCUAUCUAUGUUCACUAUCUUAAUCACUAAAAAGUAAUGAACAUACCAAACAAUAAAAUAGCUCAUAAAUCCCAAUUACUAACCAUUUUCUACAGCUAAAAAUUGAGCUUAGUUAACCACUUACCCUAAGGCUCCUUUGUAGUCAAAUUCCCUUCCAAUUGCUUCCAAAUAAAUGGUGUAAUUCUCUCAUUCUCUCUCUAGAACGUCCAGAUAGUGAGAGAAAGUGUGAAAACCAGAUUUUUGAAGGGUUUUAAAGUGAGAGGAUGAAAGAAUCCAAAGGUUCUAGUCAAAAGGGUACAAAGGUGUGAAAACUAGAGCAAGAGAGAGAUAAUCACUCAAGCUUCAAAUCAAGCUUCCAUGGAGUUUUGAAGAAACGUGAGAGAGGAGAAGGGAAGAAGAAGACCAGCUGCUGGAAAUUCAAGAAGCUGCUAGAAAUUCAAGAUAUUUAUAGGCCAUCUUAUCCUUUCCUUUAAAAUUACGAAAAUGCCCCUCCACCAAUUAACUUACUCUCCUCUAAUCUUUUAUGCAAUCUUUUUGCUCUUUUAACACUGGGACAAUAUCCAUAAUGGUCUAAACAUGCUCGAGUUCAUAAAAACAUAAAAUUUUAACCCGAGGUGAAAAAUGACCAUUUUGCCCUUAUUAUGAAAAUUGUUGAAACUUCUAGUUUUCUUCGUGAUUUCAUCAGCACACAUCAUUUAUACAGUGUUAGUCCUAUUUAGGCCUUAAAAUAUCAUAAAACUUUCUUCUGGAAGCUUAUUAGAGAAAAUGACAAAACUACCCCUAACCCAUAUUAUUACAUCUAUACUUAGUUACAAGCCUAUAGAAGUUAGGGUAUCACAUGUUAAAUCUCGGAGGCCUCUAUUGUUUUUGUGAAAAUAGAGGUCGGGAAGAUGUUACUAAAAUAGUAGUGGUACUUCUUGAAACAAAUGAGUCUUUGCCCUUUUUUGGUGGCUGACUAGAAGAUACACUCAAAUUUCUCCUUUUUGCUAACUCAGCUCGCAUUCUCCUAUUUUCAUUCGCAAGCUUUCAGCUCUUAAAGCCAUUUACACCGCCUAUUUAGCUACGGUUACGUCCGACUCACCCAUAAAAGAAGUGCAACCAUGUUGCCUAGCCUCUUUAAGCUUCUUAGAAUUAGAAACAUCCAGCACCAGUGGUGGGACACGAGGUGGGGGUGGUGGUACUGAAGGAGCAGCUGGAAGAGCUAUAGGAAGAGCUUGAGCAGCCUGAGCCUGGCCAGCAAUAGUAGUAAAGAAGGCUGCCAAUGCUUGAACUGCCUUAAGAUGCAUGGCAAGAAUACUAGUAAGUGGUAGAAGAGGUGGAGGAUGUAGAGGAGUCUCGGUCUGCUUAGCAGCAGGUGUUGCUCGAAUAGUAGACGCAGUCGAUUCCCCUUCCUAUAGGAUCUAGCUGACGAUGUUGAGAACUACCUCUUCCCCUCCCAACCGAUCUAGUGAGAGAUGGGUGUUCACGUUGAGCAGGCAUGAUAAUCUAUAAGAAGGAAUAAGGCAAGUUUAAACAACCUCAGGCUCUACAUGCAAAUACAUGAAUUCCAUUCAGUCUAACCUAACUUAACUCGGGGCCACACUGACAUUGUAAAUUUUUAAAAUAACUUUAAAAGAAAAAACUUUGUGUUUUGAUCUUUAAAACCAAAAGCUCUGAUACCAAUGUAAUUGUCAUGACCAAAAACUCUCAUCGAGCCCGUGACAACCGUUGCGACAUACCGAUAGACAUUCAUUACUUGGAAUGUCAAUCGAAACCUCCCAAGGCUUAACAUCAGUUUUUCUCGCUUCCCCUCUGAGUAUUAGUUACUAAAAUCAUGUUUGAGAGAUUAUAAAUUAUUUCCAAAUCAAAACAAUAGAAAAAAAAUUUUUUUCUCACAGGGGCAUUUUGGUCAUUUUUCCUCAAAAAUCUUGAAAUUCGUUAAAAAUAUAGUAUGCGAGUACAAAACACAUAAUUCAUAAUCAAAAAUAAGUUUAAACAUCUAAAACCUUCAUUUAAAAUGAAAUUAUGAUUAUUUUGAUAAAUUAAAAAAAAUAAAAGAAAUAUUCAAUAAAAUAUUCUAUUUUCUUAUAAAAUAAUAUUUUUAGAGAUAUACUUAAAUAAUUUUUACAACGUAAAAGCAAAAUAAAUUCAUACAUACUGUAAUACAGUAAGUCAGAGUAUUUAAUUUAAUUUACAAUAACCAGUGGGCCCCCGAAUAACCAAAAGUAAGGAAGACUAUGAACCUACAGUUUGAAGGAUGCAAAUCCAAUGGUAGCCUCGAUGAAAUUAGCUAUCUACAACCUAUUCUGAGCUUGAAAUGGGUGGAAAGGAGGGUGGUGAGAUUAUAUAAUCCCAGUGAGUAAACAAAUACCAUCUAAAAUAUCUAAAGCUGAGUAAAUGGAGAUAGAUAAAAUAGUUUAACAUGUUGUAAUUCAUCACUUUUCAACUCAUUUCAACCAAAUAAAAUCAAUUCAUAUAAAUCGAGUAAUCAACAUGGCUUGUGAAUUUCUUAAAAAUUUGGCUCAUGCCAAAAUCAUUCUCAUACUCAGUUAUCAGGGAUACCUUGGCCAAGGGCUAUCCCAACCGAGACCGCUAAGGCUGUUAAAAAGUUAUGUACGCAUAAAUCAUGUUUUUAUUUUGAAAACAUAGCCAAUCCUUGGCGUUUGCUGAGUUCACCCUCACGUGGUGGUUUGGCGUGAAGUGAACUCUAAAGUUUUAACCUCAGGAGUUAUCCAACCGCGCCUCUCAUACUGAGGUAUGAAUAUAAUAGGGUUACCGUGCCCCUCUAAUAGGCUGAUCCACGAAACCCGUCUACUGCAGCGACUAAUUUAUAACCCACCAUACAAUAAAAUUUGCAACAGCAUGACAUGGCAAUUAUUUUAUUUUAUAGCCUCUCAAGGCAAAUUAACAGUUCAUACAUUUUCAACACAAAUACUAAUUCAGUCAUUCAUGCAAAUAUUAUCAUAAGCCAUUCAAUUCAAACCAUGAUUUAUAACACAGUAAUUAGUCUCCAAUUACUCCAUUUUCAAAACCAUCUUUCAAUUUCAAGACAAUUUAUAAAAUCAUUUCAUUUAAACAAAUUUUGUUUAUAAAACCUAAAAAUUUACCAUUUAAACUCAUUUUCCAUAAAUUACAAAAUUGGAUAAAAAUCACUUUAGAUAAUUAAGACGAUAGUAAGGUUACUCACUAUUUCAGGAGUCGAAUUUUGAAUACUCCGAUUCUUGAUUCUUGGGUAUUAUCUCUUUACUUGUGCUAGAAUGCUCAACACCAAGACAUAAUGCACAAUAAGCCAUUUAGUACAUUUGUGCUAAAUUGUUAUAAAACCAAUUCAGGCUUUAUACUAAUGUAUGAAAUGGGAUGCAAAUUGUUCAGAUUAUCAUCUAAACACGGUGUUCUACACAAAUUCAAUUGUGUACCUAAAUAAAACGGUAUUGGCCUAAUUCGAUCUAUCACUCGAUUAAUUGGUCAAUAUGUCCAAUUUAACUCCAAUUAAUUCUAUUUUUCUCCUAAUACUCCAAAUCAUCAAACACAAAUUAAAUAACUUGAAAUAUGGCAAAAUCAUCCUCACAUUUUCUCUUGGAAAAUUCAGCCAUGGUGGGUGCAUCAACAUUAUAAUUUUUCAAGCUUGAUUCUCACACCAUAAAUCACUAAUUUCUAACCAAAUCAUUUGAAAUAAAAUCAAAAUCAUCAUCAAUAUUCUACAUGGAGAAUUCGACCAAUGAUGGGUGAUGGGAGAAAAUGAAUUUUUCUUGUUGACUUUUCAUGCUACACAAUAGUAACUAACUAAAAACACUGAAAUACAUUGAAAUCUAACCAAAUCAAGCAUCAAAACUCCUCCCCCCAUGUCUGGUUAACAAGGGUAUCCUCAUGCAAACUUGAUUCUCAACCAUGGAAAAUGAAAAAGAAUACAUAGGAAAGGUAGAUCACAAGCUAGAAUUGAAAAAUCUUACCUUUUUUCACUUGUUUCCUUGAAUUUUCACACUUUUCACUUGAAUUUUUCCACCUAGGGUUUUUGUUCUUCUUUUUUUCCUUUGUUCUUCCUUC
rnacentral:lncRNA from 1 species